rnacentral:lncRNA from 1 species
GUGAAGGAGAGUGGGAAGAGCAGGGCAAGGAAGCUAUUACUCACUUCCAUGAAUACAGGAGCUAGACAUGGAUGGGUUAACUUCAGUAGUCCAUGUCUUGCUUGCUGUGAUAGAUGGGAAUUUACCACAGCAACAAAAAGCCCUGACUGCCCUUGUGCAGGCCUUGGGGAGCUUGAUGUGGACAUCCUUCCAUAGGCCUGGAAGCUGAGCAUUUAAGGCUGGGUACCCUCUGGUCUGGCCCAGAUGUGAAUCCCACUUGGUCCUUGAAAAAGUGGCCUGGAAUCCAAGUGAAGCAACUGCACCGUGGAGGAGGCCUCCAGUGGUUCCAAUGGAGACCAGGAGCCCAGUUUAGUAGGAAGAUUCAGAGCAAGCCACUGAAGGUUUACAGAAGCACAAUGGCCUUGUUUUUGCUCUUCUGAUGGUAGACUGCAUCCACUGAUGAACCGGCAGCUAGACUGGGGAGAUGAGGUGUGUUUAUGGUGAUCCUGGAAAAUCAGGGAGGGGCAGGGAGUGGAAACACUCCAAAUAACACUCCAAAUGAGGCUUUGCUGGCUCCUUUAGUUUUCCCUUUUACUCCAAACUACAGAAGUCCUAAAAUGGGAAGGAGAAUGGUGAGAAGGAAGAGGGUACUGGCCUAGUUAGAGGACCAGAUUUAUUUUGGUCAAAAAUUGACGUUUUUCCUCUCCUGAUGCCUUUAAACCAAACACUGCUCCCCAAAAGCUGGGGCUUUUUAGGCACUUGACCAGACUAGGAAGAUUCCAAGACUGAGAUGCACAGUGAGCUUAGGGGUUGCCUCCCCAAUCUGGGACUCGGCUCACUUAUUGCAGACCCUGUCUCCCAUGCCUGGUCCUGAGGACAUCUGGAGAAGAUCCCUCACCAACCAACAGGUGGCUUCAGGUGGUGGGGGUGAGCAUCCUGGGAAACCGGGGCCUGGCCCUCUUGGAGGGACAUCAGGGUGGGGAAUACAUUUUCUUUUCAGAGACUCAAAGAUCCUUUGGGAGGUGGGAGGGAAAGAUGCGAGAUCUCUGUUUGAAAAUAUCAGUUUGCGUUUAGGUCUUGCUGCUACAGUACGUUUUCCUCUCCUCCCUCCCAGAAGAUAGCCUGGCCUUUGUGUUCCCAGCCAGCAUGAGGGACGCUUUGUGUGGCUCUGCAGGAAGUAUCCGUUGCCAGGCACCCAGAAGACACCCCUCCUCCUGGCUUUUGUUUUGCCUAGGCCUGGGCUGUUGGAGGGGAAUUGUGCUGCCUGAGAGGGACAGAGAAUGAUGCUGGAUGCUUCAUACCCUCGAUCACUGGACUCCAGGUUCUUCAGCUUUUGGACUCUUGGACCUACACCAGUGGUUUGCCAGGGGCUCUCGGGCCUUUGCCACAGACUGAAGGCUGCACUGUUAGCUUCCCUGCUUUUGAGAUUUGGGGACUCGGACUGGCUUCUCUGCUCCUCAGCUUGCAGACGGCCUAUUGUGGAACUUCACCUCGUGACUGUUUCUGGUGACUGGAAGUUCAAGAUCAGAGUGCCAGCAGAUGCAGGUUCUAGUGAGGAUCUUCUUCCUGGUUGCAGACACUGACUUCCUGUAUCAUCAAAUUAUGGAAAGAAAAAAGAUAUACUUCAUGUUGUAGUGUCUGGCGAUUUAUUAAAGGAGAUCAGAUUUGAUACCAAUGAACUCAGUCAAAAAGGUAUUAGAAAGACCUAGAUGGCUAAUCUUUUAUAUAAUGCUUCUGCAUAGCUUAUAUUCUGUCUUAGAGCUGCCAGAGAUUUUUUUUUAAUAUGUAGAGCCUCAGAGAAACAGGUCUAUCCCAAGUUGCUCAGUGUAACUGUCCAAAUAAUAAUAAUCACUUUAGCAACACAUUCUAUAAUAGGAGUGUUAUUUAAGGAGGAAAGAGGGGUUGCUUUGGAGUACUUUGUUUCUGCUUGGGAGGAGCACAAUUUCUAAACCUAAAUAUUUCUGGGUUUCAAUCCUGGAUAAGUCAUGUAUUUAUUAGUUUUGCGACCUUGGGCAAGUUACUUAACUUACCUUAGCCUACAUUUUCUCAUCUAUAAAAUAGAGGAAACAGCUGGGUGUGGUGGUGCAAGCCUGUAGUCCCAGAUACUCAGGAGGCUGAGGUGGGAGGAUCGCUUGAGACAAGGAGGUCUGGGCUGUAGUGCGCUAUGCCAAUCAGUGUCUGCACUAAGGUCAGCAUCAAUUUGGUGACCUCCUGGGAGCAAGGGACCACCAGCUUGCCUAAGGAGGGGUGAACCGGCCCAGGUCAGAAAUGGAGCAGGUCAAAAUUCCCGUGCUGAUCAGUAGUGAGAUUGGGCCUGUGAAUAGCCACUGCACUCCAGCCUGGGCAACAAAGCAAUCCCAUCACUAAAAAAAAUAAAUAAAUAAAAAUAAAUAGAAAGCAUAUCCUUCAAGGUUUUUGUGAGUUGAAAUGUCUUAACACUAUAACAAUGCCUAGUAUAUAACAGGCAAUAAACAUUUGUUUUCUUCCCCUUGUCCCAGCUGGGAUACUAUGCCGACACCUUUUUGUAGAAAGGCAACAUCCAACUCCUCCCCAGUCCAGGCAUACUAAUGCUGAUUUUAGACUGUGGUAGACUCAGCUGAGCAACAAACAUUUUGAGCUCUUGCACUGGGUCACUUCCUGCCAGCCAGUUGGUAGGAUUAGACUCCUUGCAAUCUGUGUGUGCAGCAGAGUGGAUUAAAUUUCUGAAAUAUUUUAUCACAUCUGACCUUAUUAUUUUAUAAAUUCAUCAGAAAAUGAAAAUGUGUAAGUCAGGAGAUCCAUUUAUAAACAAAAAAGGAUAGGUCUUGUAAAUAACACAUUUGGAACAGAGAAUUAUUUUGGUCUUGCCAAAAACUGUUUACUUGAAUCCUUAGUUUUGAUGAGAUAUUCAUUGACUUCAUUAAUCAAUGAAAAGAACGUUAAAGAAUAUUUAUGAUAUGCCAGAGCUACAUCAUUGUGUCUCAAGGCAAGAUGCAAGGGUUCUAUAAAUGUUUAGGUUUUGACGAACAGCCUUGUACACAUGAAAUCAGGAGACUGGCUUUAAUGAUCUCCUUCACCACACCUGUAUUUAAUUGUGGAUAAAUUUGAAGAAAAUUUAUCAGCAAGUUCUCAAUUUUACCUUUGGUCCAAUUUAAAGACAGUAUUC